rnacentral:rRNA from 1 species
UGGCGGACGGGUGAGUAAUGUCUGGGAAACUGCCUGAUGGAGGGGGAUAACUACUGGAAACGGUAGCUAAUACCGCAUAACGUCGCAAGACCAAAGAGGGGGACCUUCGGGCCUCUUGCCAUCGGAUGUGCCCAGAUGGGAUUAGCUAGUAGGUGGGGUAAAGGCUCACCUAGGCGACGAUCCCUAGCUGGUCUGAGAGGGUGACCAGCCACACUGGAACUGAGACACGGUCCAG